rnacentral:misc_RNA from 1 species
AACGCACGAGACCUGCGGACCUGCGGAGGGAUCAUUAAUGAGUUGCAAAACUCCCUAAACCAUUGUGAACCUACCUGUACCGUUCCUUCGGCGGGCGGCGUCAAGCCCUAACCCGUCCCCCUUUACGGGGGAUGGACCCGCCGGAGGCUCCUAAACUCUUAACUUUUGUUGGCAUCUCUGAGUAAAUCAAAAUAAGUCAAAACUUUCAACAAUGGAUCUCU